CCUACGGGAGGCUGCAGUGGGGAAUAUUGGACAAUGGGGGGAACCCUGAUCCAGCCAUGCCGCGUGUGUGAAGAAGACCCUCGGGUUGUAAAGCACUUUCAGUGAGGAAGAACGCCUGGUGGUUAAUACCCAUCAGGAAAGACAUCACUCACAGAAGAAGCACCGGCUAACUCCGUGCCAGCAGCCGCGGUAAUACGGAGGGUGCGAGCGUUAAUCGGAAUUACUGGGCGUAAAGCGCGCGUAGGUGGCUUGAUAAGCCGGUUGUGAAAGCCCCGGGCUCAACCUGGGAACGGCAUCCGGAACUGUCAAGCUAGAGUGCAGGAGAGGAAGGUAGAAUUCCCGGUGUAGCGGUGAAAUGCGUAGAGAUCGGGAGGAAUACCAGUGGCGAAGGCGGCCUUCUGGACUGACACUGACACUGAGGUGCGAAAGCGUGGGUAGCAAACAGGAUUAGAUACCCUAGUAGUC
rnacentral:rRNA from 1 species